UACGUAGGGGGCAAGCGUUGUCCGGAUUUAUUGGGCGUAAAGAGCGUGUAGGCGGCCAGACAGGUCCGUUGUGAAACUCGAGGCUCAACCUCGAGACGUCGAUGGAAACCGUCUGGCUAGAGUCCGGAAGAGGAGAGUGGAAUUCCUGGUGUAGCGGUGAAAUGCGCAGAUAUCAGGAAGAACACCUAUGGCGAAGGCAGCUCGCUGGGACGGUACUGACGCUAAGGCGCGAAAGCGUGGGGAGCGAACGAGG
rnacentral:rRNA from 1 species